UUAUAUUUUGAUGUAGAGGCAUAUAAAGUUUUGAUCUUUGAGGCGUUGGUGUAAUUCCAACAAAUAUA
rnacentral:tRNA from 1 species